CAGUAGCCGCGGUAAUACGUAGGUCCCGAGCGUUGUCCGGAUUUAUUGGGCGUAAAGGGGGCGCAGGCGGUUUAGUAAGUCUGAAGUUAAAGGCAUUGGCUCAACCAAUGUAUGCUUUGGAAACUGUUAGACUUGAGUGCAGAAGGGGAGAGUGGAAUUCCAUGUGUAGCGGUGAAAUGCGUAGAUAUAUGGAGGAACACCGGUGGCGAAAGCGGCUCUCUGGUCUGUCACUGACGCUGAGGCUCGUAAGCGUGGGUAGCGAACAGGAUUAGAUACCCCUGUAGUCCCUGUCUCUUAUACA
rnacentral:rRNA from 1 species